CGGCGGGCAGGGUGCUGCUGCACUGAGGAUGAGGUGCAGGGUGUGGUGUUGAGUGUCAGGGGCAGAGUUGCUGCAGUGCAGAGGACAGAGGUGGUGCAUGGCGGGGUUCCUGGGCAUCAAAAGGCAGGGGUGACAGAGCAGAAGCACCGUCAUCUCAGACAAACACCGCCACUUUAAGUUCCAGCUCCCUUUCUAGCUCCAUGCAUUUCAAGGAAAUCACUUAACUUCUAACUACAAGCAGCAGCCAGAAAGAGCAGGCAGUAA
rnacentral:lncRNA from 1 species